UGUCUGGAUAGUAAGAAAAGAAAUUUAGAUAACGUGUCAAGAAGUUAAGUCUGUGAUAUCAAUCAUGUAUAUUAAUCUGUUUUCUUUUUUUUAUUAGGUUAAAUCCAAGAAAUUCAAUUUGUCGCUUCGAUGUUUUGCGGAUUCCUGGUUCGCAUCCAUGGGACGUCAUUACGGGCAUGCCUUAAUUUCAUGCAUUUUUUGUAUUGAAAGACGUAUGGGAGCUCCCUUAUACAUUUCGGACACACAGGAUAAACAUUCAUUAACAGUCUCCUCUGAUUAGAUAUGAGCAACAGAGAGAAGAAACAUUCGACACAAUAUGGAUCAAAAGUAUCAAAGUACAACAAAAUGCAUGAAUAAGGUUUAGUGCGGAAAAGAGGCUAACGGUGGAGCAGGAGCACAGCCUCCAAAGAAACUGUCCAGACAGACCAAGGAUCGAAACAACAAUAAUUGCAAAAUAAUUUACACUAAUAAUUUAACAUAAUUAAAUACAAAUAAUUAAAUAGGAGUCAGCUGUGAGGAACGCAAGGCAGCAGUUCACAACAGUGUAAACCCUGCUACUAAGCCAACCUCAAGAUGAGUAUAGAAGCAGUUAGAAAGAAGAUAUGCAACGUUCGAUCAGUGAUAGAACAAUAGUCUCUUAAAAAAUUGAAUCCAUUAUUGGUUUCUAAUAAUUUUUUAGUGCAAAAGUAUUGUUUCAUUAUAAUAGUGAUGAAAAACAAAAAUCCAAGUCAUAUAACCCUGAUCCUUUAGAUUUAAGAAAUCUAAGUGAAAAAAGAAGAAGAAUCACGUUCGUGAAGUAAUCAAGAAGAAUCACCCAAAGAUUAUUUCUGUGAAAAUGUGCAAUAUACGUACAGAAAAUAUAUACAGAAAAAGACAGAUGAUAUCAAUUUGUGAUUAGAUUUCUUUUCGUAAUAAAUGCAAAUAUUUCAAAAAAAUUUUAACUUAGCAAGCAAAGAGACAGUAUUUUUCGUAAGUUAUAAAAUUAGUUAGUCAAUGAGUGUGAGAACGUGAAGUAGAAGAAUUCCAUAAUCAAACGAAAACUAUCAGUUUAUGAAAUGAAAUAUCUACCAACGAAUUUGUGAAUCUCAUAAUAUAUCACAUAUACAUCAGCGAUAUUGUGCGUAAUAGUAACAAUAGUAAUAAAAAAACUGCUUUUAAAAUAAUUUUAUUCUUGGAUGUUUUUGUUCCUGCGUCCACCGUUCGAGGAUUAAUCUUACAUACCACAUUAAAUUAAAACGAGGAC